GCUAACUUGCUCACUCACUUGCUCACUCGCUGACUCACUCACUCACUCAUCUGUUAGAUUUUGGGUUGAUUUAAAAAGCACUGAAAGUGAAGGGGACUGACAGCUCUUACCUGAAGGCUUCGAUGAGUCUCUCCACCUUCUGUGCUUCUCCUUGAACUCGAACAUGAGCCUGAAACUUUCUCAGGGCCUCGUCAAGUUCCAUUCCUGAGAAAUCCAUCUCAUCCACUACACAGCUAUGAAGAAGAGGCAGGUUUUUCUCUGACGGAUGAACAGGACGGACCCCUCUCCAUCCAGCGGUUCCAGAGGUUCCAAUCUGCUGCGCAUCCUCCCCGAAGCAUCCAGGGAGCUGCUUCUCCGGGCUCCCGCGCUGGUUCCAGCGCCUAGCUCCCUCACACCCGAUCAGACCGUCAAUGCACAGCUCGCUCAAACCACCCAAGAGGAGACACACCCCCUCCUGCUCUAAGGAACAGAUUAAGAGCCCAUCAUUCAAGGAGACGGAGAAAUGAAAUAGGAAAUCGAAGGAGAAGCUGCAGCAAUCCGAGAAACAUUUCGUCGGCCAUAAAUCGAAUGGAAGGCAUCAUUUCUUUACCUCGCAACAGAGCAGAAACUCGACGCCUGGCUUUUCACGCAUUCGCAGCCGUCCCCGGGAUUCUUUCUUCACCCACCAUUAGAGACGAAGACCCCAGACUUCGUCUUUCCACUCUGAUUAAUGCGUUUUCCAUAUGUAGAAAGUUUUUUUAAUGAAAACAAUAUUGAACAAAGAUGUCGACCCACAUUCAUCUCAGUUAAACACAACCCCGAAUGUUUCUCAUUCUAGCGAAAAUCAAAAUGCAGCACAAACAGAAUCUUUUCAAAAUACAUUAA